rnacentral:sRNA from 1 species
CCGGGAUCCACUCCGGUCUCCGACUCCGG